rnacentral:rRNA from 1 species
AGCAGUAGCCGCGGUAAUACGUAGGUGGCAAGCGUUGUCCGGAAUUAUUGGGCGUAAAGGGCUCGCAGGCGGUUUCUUAAGUCUGAUGUGAAAGCCCCCGGCUCAACCGGGGAGGGUCAUUGGAAACUGGGAAACUUGAGUGCAGAAGAGGAGAGUGGAAUUCCACGUGUAGCGGUGAAGUGCGUAGAGAUGUGGAGGAACACCAGUGGCGAAGGCGACUCUCUGGUCUGUAACUGACGCUGAGGAGCGAAAGCGUGGGGAGCGAACAGGAUUAGAUACCCGAGUAGUCCCUGUCUCUUAUAC